UCAACAGGGCCACACCUUCUAAUAGUGCCACUGCCUGGGCCGAAGCAUAGACAAACCACCACAGAAGGUAAGCACAUUAGGGUUCCCUUUUGGAUAGGAGAGUGAGACCUUAACACUUGAGGGUCUUUGAGACAGUGACUUGAUACGCGCCUUUACUCCCAGGACUUCAGGGGACAGGCAGAUCUCUGUGAGUUCACAAAAAGAAGAGCCCCCCCUGUCCCAAGGAUCCUUGGACGUUUGUCUGGAAAAUCUGCUCUCUGACCCCAACCAGUAUUAAAUUCACAAUUUGGCUUAAGUGAAAGAUAAGGCUGAGAACAUUGCUCAGUGUGGAGCACAUGCAGGUGGUGUCGUUCCUCAGCACUAACAAAUAAUGAGAGAACCAAGAUACAAAGUGCAAAAUAUUUCACAAUUAUUGAAGGGCACUUUGGAGCAUGCCUUUAAUCCUAGCACUCGGGAGGCAAAGGCAGGUAGAUCUCUGUGAGUUCAAGGCCAGCAUGGACUAAAUAGUGAGUUCUAGGACAGCCAGGGUUAUGUAGAGAGAUGCUGUCUCAAAAAUCAGAAAAGUAAGAAUUAGUCUGUGUCUGCAGACUAGGGAUAUAUCUCUGUUGCUAGAGUGUUUGCCUAGAAUUCAUGAAGCUGUGGGUUUGAUUUCCUACACUACCUAAAACAGCCUUAGUGCUGCAUGCAUAUAAUCCCAGCAUGAGGUAGAGUCAGGAGGAUCACAAAUUCAAUAUCACCUUCUGCUGCGCAGGAGGUUUGAGGGGAGCUUAUCUCAGCAAUAAAUAAUAAGUCUAUUAUGGAAGUAUAGUCUAGUUUGCUAACUAUAUAACUUUUAUUAUAGUUCCGGGGAAGCUGUUUCAAGCUUAUUCUCCCUGUAGAACGUUGCAAGAGCACUUUGCAAACACAUCUAUGGUGGUUUCAAUAGGAAUGUGCUUCCCAUAGACUCCCGUUUGAAUGCCUGAGGCAGGGUGUGUGUGGCCUUGUUGGAGGAAGUGUGUCACUGGGGAGGCAGGCUUGGAGGCCUCAUGUAAACUCAAACUAGGCCUAGUGUAACACUCUCCUGUUAGCGAAUUAAGAUGUGGAACUCUCAGCUCCUUCACCAGUACCAUGUCUGCUGCAUGGCAUGCCUCUCCCCAGGAUGCUAAUAAGCUAAACCUCGAAACUAAGUCAGCCCCAAUUAAAUGUUUCCCUUUUAAGAGUUGUCUCAGCCAUGGUGUCUCUUCACAGACUAAGACAUCUACUCUAUAAGUAGAUGACCCGUGACAGCAUGGGCCUCUCACAUGGAAACUGCCUUUUCUGUCCUUUCAGCUGAGCAUCUUAAAGAUGAGGAUUUGGGGGAAGAUGAGGCUGUGAAGAUGAGAUGGCUCAGGGGUUAAGAGCCAGCAUCCAUGUCGGGUGGCUUACAACACCCCUAACUCAGCCUCAGGGAUCCAAUGCACCUGGCCCCUCCAUAGCGCCCGCAUUCAUGCAUAUACCACCACUUACACACUUGACUUUAAACAAUGCUUGCUAAGAGAUGCUGGUAAACACCAGUACCUGCCUAAGUAAAGUCCCACGGGAGGAGAAUUGUACCUUAGGGUAGCCUUAAAUGUCCAUAUCUCACCCCACACUGCCCCAUUCCUCUGGCUCACAGAGGCAGGCUCUCUUCAACCAGAGGCCCUCAAACUACACAGGAGUUACCUCCCCAUAAGCUGAUCCCAAGCUUACACCAAGUCUUCCAACUCAGUUGACCUAAGAUGGGCCAAGGAAGUAUAUUUUUUAACAAUCUCCCAAAUGCAUUUUGCCCUAGCUCUUUGAAGGCAUUGAAUUGUUUGUCCCUUCUCAUCCCUCAUUUUUCUUGGUGACACAGAGCACAGGAGAGCCAGCUCCUUCUCUGCUGUCUUACGAAGCCUGAGCAUCUAAGCACUUUUUUUUUCCCCAUGCACACAGAAAAAUCUUGUCUUUUUUCCUGACCUAGUUGUCUGGGACUUUGUCCCUGCUAGCAUCUUCUUAGUCUGGCUACUUUCAGGCCUGUGUUUCACUGCCUGUGCUGAAUAAGAUUAAAGCAGGCUAAAAAUAGUUCCUUUAAUGGCCCCUGGUCUUGGCUGGCACAGAGCCAAACUGACUUAGCUCAAAAGCUCACCUCUAGAAAGAAGCAGGGACUGUUGCACUGCUGGGAGAGGCUCUGCUUGCUAGGUACAGCUUGUCCCCAUCAGAAGAGGGUUUUUCCUUUCAAAGAGCAAGCAGAACAAAAGAAGCUUUGGCCUUAUGGAGAAAGGUAGUAACAUAAAUGAGAAACAAAAGACAGUGCAGACCCUUUGGGAUGCUUAGCGGAGCCAUCCAUGCCUAGGGUGGGAAGAUAGGGGAAAGACCUCACAGCUGCUUCUACCGGAACUGUCUAUAAUCUCUGAGCUAGGGCACAUCCCAAGAUGCAGCCCCUGCCAGCACUUGCCCUGAACCAGAAAACCCCAUUCGCGUUCCUUGACUUUAUUUAUUUCGGUACUGGGGAUCCAACACAGGGCAGCAUGCUUGCUCCGCAAGGACCGCUGAGAUGCAGCCCCUGGCCCGUCAGCCUUAGGAUGUUUAUUGCUGUGUUGAGAUACGACAACCAAAAGCAAGUUAUGGAGGAAAGGCUUAUUUGUCUCACACACACUUCCACAUCUCUGUGCAUCAUCAAAGGAAGUCAGAGCAGCAAAUCAAACAGGGUAGGAACCUAGAGGUAGGAGCUGAUAUAGAAGCCAUGGCGUGUGCUGUGUGUGUGUGUGUGUCUGUGUGUGUCUGUGUGUGUCUGUGUGUGUCUGUGUGUGUGUGUUGCUGCUCACUGGCUCCCUCCUCAUGGCUUACUCAGCCUGCGUUCUUAUAGAACCCAGGACCGUCAACCCACGAUGGGCCGAACAUACCCUUUAGUGAGAUCAAUCACUAAGAAAACGCCUUACAGGCUUUCCCAUCUACAGCGCCAAUCUUCUGGAAGCAUUUUCUCAACUGAAGCUCCCUCAUCUAGCCCAUGUCAAGUUGACAUAAAAAGUCAGCCAGGGCACCAUGCUUGUCUUUCUAAAACCUAACCUCCAUAUCCUUGAUCUCUCUUCUUGCUAUGGUUGAAAAUGAGCCUGAACUGCUGAGCCUCCCACCUCUGCCUCCGAAGUCCUGUGAUUGUAGGUGUUCACCACCAUACCUAGCUUCUCCCUCACUCUCUUCACAGCUCACACUCUGCUGUUUUCUCUACCAUCUAAAUGACCUGUGUUGGUUCAAGGGCAUUCUCACUGAGCAUGCUGAUGGAACAAACCCCUCUCCAGAGAAGGGUGCGGUCACCACACUCCACGGGAACUCUCUCCCUGUCUGCACCCUAACUGCUCAGCAGCCUUUGACCAGAGCAGACAUGAAGCCUUUUCUUUAGGUAAGGCCCUGAACGUAUCACAAUCUCACGUUUCUGGCCUAUUUAAUUGCAGCUGCUGCCAGGAUGCAUAGACUCUCUAUUUGGCAUGGUUGGGGUGGGUUGAGAAGUCUCAAUAUAUAGGCCUUACUGGCCUUGAACCAGACAUUCUCCUGCCUUUGUCUGCUGGGACUCCUCACAGUACACUGUACACUACAUCCAGCUCUGCUCCCUUCAUUUUUACAGUAGAGGAAUCUGGCUCAGGAUGCAAUGACCAACCAUGUUCCUGUGUCUCUGGAGCUGCCCCAGGUUAUAACUGAGAGGUCUGUCUGCAUCUAAGGCUUACACAGUAGCUGUCGGCUAAAGCCUAUAUGGGAUAGCACUUUUUCUGGGCUGCCAUCCAUUUCAGCAACAUUAUUGUUCAUGUCUGUAUACUCAGAGAAGCCUGGUCACAAGGAACUGCAUUUUAGUGUCCUAGUGACCCACUGGAUCCUUUUCCACCUGUGAGCAGCUGCUUCAACCUGGACAGGUUGUUUGACUAGUCCUUGGUAUUGGGAUGAAUCUUUUCCAAAUGGGACUGGAUAGAAUGGGAUUAAGAACCCACUCUUGGGGACCACCAAAAUAGAUCAAUGGGUAAAGGGGUCCCAGGAACCCAUGCAAAGGUGGAAGGAGAAAACCAACUCCACAAAGUUUCCUGUGACCUCCCCAUGCCUGGAAACCCAUGCACCAAGCAUACACACAAGGACUAGGUGGCUCAGGGGUUAAAGAUGUCUGGUGCACAAGUCUAGUGACCUAAAUGUUGAUCCCUAGGAUGCAUGUGGUGGAAGGAGAAAACUGACUGCCAUAGGUUGUCGAUAGACACAAGCACUGCAACACACAUGGGCCUGCACAUGUACACACACACACACACACACACACACACACACCAUAAUAAGUAAAUAUAUGUAACUGUGGUGGUUUGAAUAGGUAUGGCCCCCAUAGACUCACGAGUUUGAAUGCUUGGCCCACAGGAAAUGGCACUAUUAGGAGGUGUGGCCUUGUUGGAGGAAGUGUGUCACUGUGGGGUGGGCUUUGAGGUUUCCUAUGCUUAAGCUCUGCCCAGUGUGGAAUUUUGAGUCUCCUUCUGGCUGCCUUUGGUCAAGAUGUAGAACUCCCAGCUCCUUCUCCAGCAUCAUGUCCGCUGCCAUGCUUCCCACCAUGAUGAUAAUGGACUAAGCCUCUGAAAUGGUAACCUUGCCCCAAUAAAUGUUUGCUUUUAUAAGGUUUGCUUUGGUCACUGUUGUCUCUUCAUAGUUUGUUUGUUGAGACAGGUCCCACCCUGUAGUCCUGAUGGCUUGGAACUGGUCCACCCAGACGCUCCAGGGCUCCACCCAGACACUCCAGGGCUUCACAUCUUGAGAUGCUUAACCUCACUGCUCUUUUUUUUUUUUUUUAGAUUUAUUUAUUUUAUGUAUGUGAGUACACUGUAGCUGUCUUCAGACACACCAAAAGAGGGCAUCGGAUCCCAUUACACAUGGUUGUGAUCUACCAUGUGGUUGCUGGGAAUUGAACUCAGGGCCUCUGGAAGAGCAGUCAGUGCUCUUAACCACCGAGCCAUCUCUCCAGCCCCAGCAAUAAAAUUUUAAUUACUCUUGUUGAAUUUGUGCAUGUGCGUGCAUGCAUGCGCGCGUGUGUGUUUUUAUGUUUGUAAGUAGGAGAACAACUUUUUUUAAUUUAAAAAAUGUUUUUCAUUAAUUAAUUUAUUUAUUUAUUCCCUUUACAUCCUGAUCACCCGUUCUACAUCACAUCUUCUUCAGUGGCAGGCAAGAAUCAGAGACAGCCUCUGCUCCAGUUGUUCAGGACCCACAUGAAGACCAAGCUGCACAUCUGCUACAGAUGAGUAGGGGCCCUGUGUGCUCUUUGGUUGGUGGUUCAGUCCCUGUGAGCCCUAUGGGGAGGACCAGCUUUUGAGACUUGGUUCUUUCCCUCCACCUCAUGGUCCCUGGGUCACUUGGGUCAUCAGGCUUGGCUGUGAGUGCCUUCAAGCACUAGGCCAUGUCCCUGGCCUGGGCAUGGGAAUUUUGAUAGGGAUCAUGGUGACUUGGUAAUCUGCCCUUAGCAGGAUUGCUGUUCAAACAAAGCAAAGAGUAGGGUGCGGUGGUGCACACUGGAAUCCCAGCACUUGGGGAACAGAGGCCAGGAAGCAGGUGUCAGUUUUGUAAAUGCAGUGUGAGACCAAAGUGUCCUCUGUGAGACCCUGUCUCAAAAAAAAAAACAAAAACAAAAACAAAAAAACCAAGGUUAAGUAUUGCAACCCACAAAUACAAGGUGCCCGAACUUCAAUUCAUGUGGAUUUUCUUUUUGGAGACUGACACUGUGUAGACCAGACUGGCUCACACAUUGAUCUGCUUGCCUCUGCAAGUGGAUCUUUUAAUGCUAUUUAUUAUACAUUAUUUUUUAGCUUCUCCAUUCAGCCAGAUGUGGUGGCCCAGCCCUUUAGCCUCAGCACUCAGGAGGUAGAGGCACCAGACCUCUUUGAGUUCAAGGCCAACCUGGUUUCCAUAGCAGGUUCCAAGCCAGCUUGGGUUACUGGUGAGACCCUAUCUAAAAAAAACAAACAACAACAAACAAACAAAACUAGAUCUCUGUUCAGAUUGCUUACUGCUAGUGUCCUAUGUGUUCACUGUGCCACAUUCAUCACUAGUGUCAAGAGACACAAAAUUGACUCAAUUAUUCUGCUGUUUUUUUUUUUUUUUUCAGACAGAAUCUCACUUUUUCCAGGAUGGCUGUCUCUGACUUUUAUUUUUAAUUAUUUGAUUAUUUAAUUUUAUGUGUAUGAAUGUUCUAUGUGCAUAUAUGUCUGUGCACAUGUCUGUCUAGUACCUGUGGACUACCUGAUUACCCGGGACUGUAGCUAUACAGACAGUUAAAAGCCCCCUUGUGGGUGCUGGGAAUCAAACCUGAGCUCUUGGUCACAGCAACAAGUACUCUUUUUUUUUUUUUUAAGAUUUAUUUAUUGUAUUAUAUGAGUGCACUGCAGCUGUCUUCAGACACACCAGGAAAGAGCAUCAGAUUCCAUUACAGAUGGUUGUGAGCCACUAUGUGGGUGCUGGGAAUCGAACUCAGGACCUCUGGAAGAGAACUCAGUUCUCUUAACCACUGAGCCAUCUCUCCAGCCCAUCCAGCUUGUUUGUAGUGCGAAGAUGACCUUGACCUUCUAAUACUCUGACCCCCACCUCUCGAAUGUUGAGAGUACAGGUGUACGCCACACACCCAGUUUAUAUAUGUGGGUUUUUUGUGUGUUGAUCUGUACCCUGAAGCUUUACUGAAUAUGACUUUUUUUUUUUUUGAGAUAGGGUUUCUCUGUAUAGCCCUGGCUGUCCUGGAACUCACUUUGUAGACCAGGCUGGCCUCGAACUCAGAAAUCUGCCUGCCUCCGCCUCCCAAGUGCUGGGAUCAAAGGCGUGCGCCACCACUCCUGGCAUCUGAAAAUGACUUUUAUUAGCUCCAGUAAUUUUUUUUUUUACUUCUAGAGUCAAAUCCUAGCUCUUUCCCUUACCUGUGGUGCCACAAUCUUCUGGAAAUAUCCCUCACAUCCUAAGACUGGAACUUUGGCAGCAUCUCACAAAAUACAGCGUUGGGGUCACUUAAGCCUGCUCUUGGUUAAUGUGGAUUUUUUCUCAGUUAAAUGGCUUUUGUUUCCUUCCGUAGUACAACCCAGAUGCAUUAAUAGUGACUCAGAGUUAAUCACUGAUUAAUUCAUUUAAUCUGUAAACCAAACAGCUUUGGGUUCCCACUCCACUUCCUCAAUCUUAACCCAUCUUGAAAAAUAGAACUAAGGAUAUAGUUUGGUUGAUCGAGAGCACAGGCCCUGGAUCUGAUCCUUGGGACUACAUAAACCAGGGUUGGUGGGACACACGUGUAACCUCAGCCCUUGGAAAGUUAAGGAAGAAAGGUCAGAAGCUGUGGCAUUCUCUACAACGAUAUAAUGUUAGAAGCUAGCCUGGACUACACAAGGCUCUGUCUCAAAAGAAAGAUGCCCAGGUAGACUACAGAUUACAUGUUACAUUUCUAUAAUAUAGUUAUCUCUUAACAUGCUGGGUCAUCUUUAUAAGCAAUUUGGAGUAUUCAAAUGGCUGACAUUUCUAGGCAAGCCAGAUGGGGAGAGCCAGGUGUGGUGGCUCAUGCCUGCAAUCGUGGUACUCGGGACUCUGAGGCAAGAGAAUUACAAGAAAGGACUGGCUUUGCUUUUCUGCCUUCCAGAUCCUCACUUUAUGUUCAGAUGUGGCUAUGUGCGAGGGCGUAUGGAUGUCUGACCCAGGUGAGACAGAUCAGGUUUGCAGCCAUUGAUUGAUUACGUUGAUAACUAAGUGAUUCUUUUCCAGGGGCUGAGGUGCAAGCCUACGGUGCAGCCCUCAGGAGGUGGAAGCAGGGAGAGCAGGGAGAGCAGGAGUUCAAGGUCAUCUCGGAACAAGUCAAGUAAGAGAUUUUUCAUUUUCAUUCCUAAUAGACUUUUGAACUCACUUAUUUUUUCUGGUGCUGGGGAUGGAGUUAUGCUAACAAUACCCUGCCCUGAGUCACAGCCUUGGCAGGAAGACUUUGAGAGUUACUUCGGGAACUGUUCCGGUGGCCGCCUACAAAGCCUGACCCUCAUGGGGGCUGCACUGCUGCUUAAGGGAGGAACUUUCGCCCUAAAGAGUGGUCCUCCACAGAAGACCCUACACUGACAAAAGUUACACUGCGUGUCUCUCAACUAACACUUAAUUCAAGACAGGCAUGUUGGCACGAGACUUUAAUUCAGCACUUGAGAGACAGAAACAAAUGGACCUCUGUAAGUUCGAGGCCAGCCUGUUCUACAAAGCAAGUUCCAGGACAGCCAAGACUAUACAGAGAAAGCCUGUCUCAAACAAUCCCACCCCCCCAAAAGAAAAACCUAUUUCAAGAGAAAGUUGGGGGUCCAGGGUUAUAGCUCGGUGGCAUAUUGCUGGUCCAGUAUGUAUGAGUCUCUGGGUUUGGAGAGACAGAGAGAAUGACUCCUGAAUGUUGUAUGUAACCUCUACACGUGCACUGCACACACAACAACAUAAAAUGUAAGCCCUUCCCAUGGCUGAAGGGAAUGAGGAAGCCCACAUUCAGGCUGAGGGGUUUCCUAAUGGCUCCUUUUGGAGCCAUUCUUUGGGAUUUCCCCUCUCACUUAGCUCCUCAAGCUACCCAGACUCUAAAGGCCUCCAUUUCUUCAUUGGUAAAAGGCUGAUCACCAGCAUCCUUACCUCAGAGGGCUGCUUCUGUGAGGGGAAUGAGUGUUAAGGGCUUGGCGGGAGAUGAGGUGGCUGCUUAGUGGAUGCAUAGGGGCUUCCCCCAGAACAGUGGCUUCCAAAUUUAACAGCUUACAAAUUAUCCUGGAUCCUGUUAAACUACAGAUCUUAAUCUACAGCCUGGGGCAGGGCCCGUGUUUCUAUCUCUAGGAUCACUGUACUACACUGAGUUACCAAGAUUAGAGCAGAGCAGGAGGUGGACAGCCAAGGACACCAACCAGAAGAAGCCUGGGAUGUCAUCCCUGCUAGGCUGUGAUGUCUCAUCUUUGGGGACUGGUCGUCUCAUGGCUACCAUUCAGUGAGCACCAGCAGAACCUGUGUCAGCUGGACACCUCGUAAGCAGGACUGGCUGAGCUCCCACCAACCCAUGGUUUGGAUGUUGUUUCUGUUGUCUCCAUUUACUUCUGCAAGGAAUGAAGGCCAAGCAAGCUAAGAAACUCCAUAGAGUGGGGCUGUAAUAGUGUCUGACUAGCUAAGUGCCUCUUUUCCUCCAAAGCAACUCUCUGACUAGCUGACUUUGGGAUAGAGAAGGGUCUUUAAACUGUAAGGCGCCGUCAGAAGGAUAAGAAGUCACUCCUGAGUCAAUGAUUUUGGAUGGAGGGAGAGGAGUGUUGUGUAUACAAAUAUAUGCAAAUGAAUUCAACAUCACUGACUUAUUUUAGGGGGGAGGGGGUUUCGAGACAGGGUUUCUCUGUGUAGCCCUGGCUGUCCUGGAACUCACUUUGAAGACCAGGCUGGCCUCGAAGACAUGUUCUUUUAAAACUGUUAAAUGGCCAAUUUAAGAUAUAGACUUUAUAAUACUUUUUUCUUAUUUCA